GACGAACGCUGGCGGCGUGCUUAACACAUGCAAGUCGAACGGUAAGGCUGCAGCUUGCUGGAGUACUCGAGUGGCGCACGGGUGAGUAACACGUGGGUAAUCUGCCCUGCACUCUGGGAUAAGCCUGGGAGACUGGGUCUAAUACUGGAUAUGAGUUUUCUCCUUAUGGGGUUUGGUGGACAGUUGUUCGUUGUUGGAUGAUCCCGCGGCCUCUCAUCUUGUUGUUGGGGUGAUGGCGUACCAACGCGACGACGGGUAGCCGGCCUGAGAGGGUGGUCGGCCACAUUGGGACUGAGAUACGGCCCAGACUCCUACGGGAGGCAGCAGUGGGGAAUAUUGCACAAUGGGCGGAAGCCUGAUGCAGCGACGCCGCGUGAUGGAUGACGGCCUUCGGGUUGUAAACCUCUUUCAGCAGGGAAGAAGCGAAAGUGACGGUACCUGCAGAAAAAGCACCGGCUAACUACGUG
rnacentral:rRNA from 1 species